rnacentral:rRNA from 1 species
CCUACGGGUGGCAGCAGUGGGGGAUAUUGCACAAUGGGGGAAACCCUGAUGCAGCGACGCCGCGUGUAGGAAGACGGUCCUCUGGAUUGUAAACUACUGUCCCCAGGGACGAAGAUGACGGUACCUGGGGAGGAAGCUCCGGCUAACUACGUGCCAGCAGCCGCGGUAAUACGUAGGGAGCGCGCGUUGUCCGGAAUUACUGGGUGUAAAGGGAGCGUAGGCGGGGAUGCAAGUUGGGGGUUAAAUCUACCGGCUCAACUGGUAGUCGCACUCAAAACUGCAGCUCUUGAGUGAAGUAGAGGCAGGCGGAAUGCCGAGUGUAGCGGUGAAAUGCGUAGAUAGUAGGAGGAACACCAGUGGCGAAGGCGGCCGGCUGGGCUUUUACUGACGCUGAGGCUCGAAAGUGUGGGGAGCAAACAGGAUUAGAUACCCCAGUAGUC